rfam:Trichomalopsis sarcophagae strain Alberta scaffold7804, whole genome shotgun sequence.
CAAUCGGCCCUUUCCAGGGCCAUCAAAUAUUUUUUUUUGCGUAGAA